UACGAAAGGGGCUAGCGUUGUUCGGAAUUACUGGGCGUAAAGCGCGCGUAGGCGGAUUUGCAAGUCAGGGGUGAAAUCCCGGGGCUCAACCUCGGAACUGCCUUUGAUACUGCAAGUCUAGAGGCCGGAAGAGGUGGGUGGAAUUCCUAGUGUAGAGGUGAAAUUCGUAGAUAUUAGGAAGAACACCGGUGGCGAAGGCGGCCCACUGGUCCGGUACUGACGCUGAGGUGCGAAAGCGUGGGGAGCAAACAGG
rnacentral:rRNA from 1 species